UACGAGGCAGCAGUGAGGAAUAUUGGUCAAUGGGCGAGAGCCUGAACCAGCCAAGUACGUGCAGGAUGACGGCCCUAUGGGUUGUAAACUGCUUUUAUGCGGAUAAAGUGUGGGACGUGUCCCAUAUUGUAGGUACCGCAUGAAUAAGGACCGGCUAAUUCCGUGCCAGCAGCCGCGGUAAU
rnacentral:rRNA from 1 species